CAGCAGCCGCGGGAAUACGUAGGGUGCAAGCGUUAAUCGGAAUUACUGGGCGUAAAGCGUGCGCAGGCGGUUAUGCAAGACAGAUGUGAAAUCCCCGGGCUCAACCUGGGAACUGCGUUUGUGACUGGCAAGCUAGAGUAUGGCAGAGGGGGGUGGAAUUCCGCGUGUAGCAGUGAAAUGCGUAGAUAUGCGGAGGAACACCGAUGGCGAAGGCAGCCCCCUGGGCCAAUACUGACGCUGAGGCACGAAAGCGUGGGGAGCAAACAGGAUUAGAUACCCGCGUAGUCCCUGUCUCUUAUAC
rnacentral:rRNA from 1 species